GUGAGUAACACGUAGGUAACCUGCCCUUAAGAUGGGGACAACCCCGAGAAAUCGGGGCUAAUACCGCAUAAGACCACGAACUGAGAUGUUAGUGGUAAAAGUCCCGAUGCAAAUCGGGACACUUAAGGAUGGGCCUGCGGCCUAUCAGGUAGUUGGUGAGGUAACGGCUCACCAAGCCUAAGACGGGUAGCCGGUCUGAGAGGACGGACGGCCACACUGGAACUGAGACACGGUCCAGACUCCUACGGGAGGCAGCAGUGGGGAAUUUUGCACAAUGGGCGAAAGCCUGAUGCAGCGACGCCGCGUGGAGGAUGAAGGCCUUCGGGUUGUAAACUCCUUUUGUAGGGGAAAAUAAUGAUGGUACCCUGCGAAUAAGCCACGGCUAACUCUGUGCCAGCAGCCGCGGUAAGACAGAGGUGGCAAGCGUUGUUCGGAAUUACUGGGCUUAAAGGGCGCGUAGGCGGUGAGAUAAGUCUGUGGUGAAAUCUUAGGGCUUAACCCUAAAAUUGCCAUGGAAACUGUUUUACUUGAGUCAGCGAGGGGAUGGUGGAAUUCCUGGUGUAGCAGUGAAAUGCGUAGAUAUCCGGAGGAAGGCCGGUGGCGAAGGCGGCCAUCUGGCGCUGAACUGACGCUGAGGCGCGAAAGCGUGGGUAGCAAACAGGAUUAGAUACCCU
rnacentral:rRNA from 1 species